rnacentral:rRNA from 1 species
AGGACGAACGCUGGCGGCGUGCUUAACACAUGCAAGUCGAGCGGAAAGGCCCUUCGGGGUACUCGAGCGGCGAACGGGUGAGUAACACGUGAGCAACCUGCCCUUGGCUUUGGGAUAACCCUCGGAAACGGGGGCUAAUACCGAAUAUCCAUCUUUCAUCGCAUGGUGGUUGGUGGAAAGUUUUUCGGCCAGGGAUGGGCUCGCGGCCUAUCAGCUUGUUGGUGGGGUGAUGGCCUACCAAGGCGACGACGGGUA